rnacentral:rRNA from 1 species
CCUACGGGAGGCUGCAGUGAGGAAUAUUGGUCAAUGGGCGGGAGCCUGAACCAGCCAAGCCGCGUGAGGGAAGAAGGUACAGCGUAUUGUAAACCUCUUUUGUCAGGGAACAAAGGCGGGGACUAGUCCCCGGAUGAGGGUACCUGAAGAAAAAGCAUCGGCUGACUCCGUGCCAGCAGCCGCGGUAAUACGGAGGAUGCGAGCGUUAUCCGGAUUUAUUGGGGUUAAAGGGUGCGCAGGCGGCCUGUUAAGUCAGCGGUAAAAGCCCGGGGCUCACCCCCGGCGAGCCGUUGAAACUGGCGGGCUGGAGUUGGAGAGAAGUACGCGGAAUGCGCGGUGUAGCGGUGAAAUGCUUAGAUAUCGCGCAGAACCCCGAUUGCGAAGGCAGCGUACCGGCGCCACACUGACGCUGAGGCACGAAAGCGUGGGUAUCGAACAGGAUUAGAUACCCCUGUAGUC